GGCACUACGGUGCUGAAGCAACAAAUGCCCUGCUUCCAGGAAAAGCCUCUAAGCAUCAGGUAACAUCAAAUCGUACCCCAAACCGACACAGGUGGUCAGGUAGAGAAUACCAAGGCGCUUGAGAGAACUCGGGUGAAGGAACUAGGCAAAAUGGUGCCGUAACUUCGGGAGAAGGCACGCUGAUAUGUAGGUGAAGUCCCUCGCGGAUGGAGCUGAAAUCAGUCGAAGAUACCAGCUGGCUGCAACUGUUUAUUAAAAACACAGCACUGUGCAAACACGAAAGUGGACGUAUACGGUGUGACGCCUGCCCGGUGCCGGAAGGUUAAUUGAUGGGGUUAGCGCAAGCGAAGCUCUUGAUCGAAGCCCCGGUAAACGGCGGCCGUAACUAUAACGGUCCUAAGGUAGCGAAAUUCCUUGUCGGGUAAGUUCCGACCUGCACGAAUGGCGUAAUGAUGGCCAGGCUGUCUCCACCCGAGACUCAGUGAAAUUGAACUCGCUGUGAAGAUGCAGUGUACCCGCGGCAAGACGGAAAGACCCCGUGAACCUUUACUAUAGCUUGACACUGAACAUUGAGCCUUGAUGUGUAGGAUAGGUGGGAGGCUUUGAAGUGUGGACGCCAGUCUGCAUGGAGCCGACCUUGAAAUACCACCCUUUAAUGUUUGAUGUUCUAACGUGGACCCGUAAUCCGGGUUGCGGACAGUGUCUGGUGGGUAGUUUGACUGGGGCGGUCUCCUCCUAAAGAGUAACGGAGGAGCACGAAGGUUGGCUAAUCCUGGUCGGACAUCAGGAGGUUAGUGCAAUGGCAUAAGCCAGCUUGACUGCGAGCGUGACGGCGCGAGCAGGUGCGAAAGCAGGUCAUAGUGAUCCGGUGGUUCUGAAUGGAAGGGCCAUCGCUCAACGGAUAAAAGGUACUCCGGGGAUAACAGGCUGAUACCGCCCAAGAGUUCAUAUCGACGGCGGUGUUUGGCACCUCGAUGUCGGCUCAUCACAUCCUGGGGCUGAAGUAGGUCCCAAGGGUAUGGCUGUUCGCCAUUUAAAGUGGUACGCGAGCUGGGUUUAGAACGUCGUGAGACAGUUCGGUCCCUAUCUGCCGUGGGCGCUGGAGAACUGAGGGGGGCUGCUCCUAGUACGAGAGGACCGGAGUGGACGCAUCACUGGUGUUCGGGUUGUCAUGCCAAUGGCACUGCCCGGUAGCUAAAUGCGGAAGAGAUAAGUGCUGAAAGCAUCUAAGCACGAAACUUGCCCCGAGA
rnacentral:rRNA from 1 species